CUUGUUUCCUCUAAAAGUCUGUUUCUUUCCUUUACAGUUAGAAAUAUGUGUGAAGGAAGAGCAAAUAGGUUCUGAGGAGGUGCCUGAUGACUAGAUGUAUGGCCUUUGUCUUAUGCGUUUGCUUCAUGGUAUUUAUUUCAAUUGGUUGGAAGCCUUGUUUGCUUACUUCUUAAUUCUCAGUCACUUUUGAUGGGUUCAGCAGAGGUUCUAGAUUUUUCUAGUUCUGUCUCAGUUACUCAUUGUCAAACCACUGGUUUAGAUUUUGUGUUCAGGAAAUAGGGAUAGGUAAAGCUAUCAGGUGGCUAAGCCCUAGGUAAAUGAGUUGCCAUGAAUCCUAAAAUAUUGUGAAGGUUGUGGGCCAUUUUUAUAAGGCAAAUGGUAUGCUGUGGCCGUGACAGCUGAACUCAGUAAGUGAACUUUAAAACAGAUAAGCUCCUUUUGCUGUUGUCCCUUUCCAAGAAUAUGAAGCUGGCCUGACGUCAAGCUGUUGGAGAGCCUUCAACAUGUUUAAUUAAAUCACAGACUCAGUGUCAGAGCUGGCUGACUUUCAGGAUUCUAACGCUAUAGCAAAAGAAGACAUGGUUUUGCCUCUCGUUGAUUUUCUUAUUUAUGGCCUUGGAAUAAAGAAGAUAAAGCAAGUCUAACAGUUCUCCCUUCCAAAAGUACAGUUUCAGGCCAGAAGAUUUGACUGCUACCCUUAGACUUUCUUUCCCUCACUGUACAUUGCAUUUUACAGGCUAUACAAAGCAAGACCUUCUUUGCAAAAGGCAAACUCCUUUGCCCCAAGGCCAUACUGUACAUGUGUGGGGGUAGUUGUAGGGGGAUCAGUGUUGUUAUUCACCAAUACAAGAUGGAAUCAGUGCAGCUAGGAGAGAAGAGAUUAAGGAAAGAGGCUGUGAAGUCUGCUAGACCUGGGUUUAAAUUCUGGCUUCCCGCUUAUUAGGGUGUAACCGUGGUCACAGUACUUAAUUCUCUAAAUUUGAUUCCUGAGCAACAAAGUGGGGAAUGAUAGUAUUGGUGCUGUUACUAUUAUGAUAAUGUGAAAAACAACAGGAGAGUACCUGGCCCAGAGAAAGAGCUAAGUGACAGCUCUUAUUAACAUAAAUGAAUGAUUUAAACCUGGAGAUUACAAUAGUUAACAAGCACAGACACUUAGUGCAGUCUGUUACUGACUUCAAGCAGUCUUUUGCUUUUGUUUCUAUUUCUGUGACAUCUUCUCUUAUUACGACUUUCUGUUGGGUGUCUCUAACUCUGGUGCCUUGUGAAGGCCAGGAGAUAUUCCAGACAAGCUGAAAUUCUACCUUUUUAUGAGUAUAAAGGAAAUGGGGCCAUGUUGGACCAAACAAAGAGUAAUAAAAUAAAAUAUAGAGUUGUAGCUUUCAGAGGGAAAGAUAAAACAAGAAAGGGCUGGGGCAAUGGAUGUGGUGUUGAGAUACUGGCACCAGGAAGCAGGGAAGAAAACCUCCAAACACAUUGUGGUUUGUUAAAACACUGAAGACUCCUAAGUGCUACAGUGGCAGGCAGUGCCACCCCACCAGGCAGCAGUGUCCUCCGCAACUGGGGAAGAGGAAGUAGGGCCUAAUGAUUGCUCUCGGAGACAGAGAGUCUGCUGUCCUGGGCUUUACCAGCCUGGCUUGUUGGGUGACCUUGAGUGACUUAUCUCCCUCUCUUGGACAAUUUUCUCAAGGUUCUCACACAGUCCCUAGCUAACUAAAAGGGUCUGAUGAAGAUAAAUGUGUUAAAAGAAAAUUUAGAGGAGAGUCCACAAACUGUCCCUCCAGAUACACCUGCUGGUGGGUUUUAGGAUUUUUAAACAUUAAAUUUUAAUGCAUUUAGGCAGGGCUUGGUAUUUUCUAAUUCACACAGUAUCUACCAUCUUGAGUCUUCACAUUUGGCUCCUGAAGGCCUCUGAGUAUAUGACUUCUGAUUUCAAUGCAACCUCUGGUCCUUCAAACCAGCUUGGAAUUGCUUCAUUUACAACUCAUUCUAUGUUUUCAUCAAUUACAUGCAAAUAUGUAUUUCUAAAGUUUCACAAAACAAAGAUUUUGUUGGCCUAACUGUAAUUUGCUCUAAAAGACAUUUUUUUUUCUAGAAAAUAUGGCAAAAAUUACAAUUUUACCUUCCUUCUAGUUCAUCCAAAUUCUAAAACUUUAAUGUUAUUUGAAAACAUAAUUUGGCACCAAGUAUUCUUUAGGUUAUAAUCUAAGUUGCUCAUAAAAUGUAAUCUAGGCCUGGAUCAUUUUACUUUGAGGAGAAAACUUAUCACUAAAUAAUAAUGAUCUUAAGUCUGUUCUUUUGCCACUUCCCAGAGCUCUCUCCUAAGGCACUGUGGAAAAGUCAGGAGUAAAUUAGACUCCCACAUCUAGUAACCAAAACACCAUCAUCUCCAGCAUUACCACAGUCAAGUAUGCAGCUCGUCAUAAAUAUUUACACCUUGCAGGGUCCUUUGUGCACAACUCUGAGAGACAAAUGGCAUUUCCAGUAAUAGUUUAUUGAUUUCCAAAUGCACAGGGGCACCAAGUCCGAACAUCCUGGGAUAGCAGUAAAUCUCUCUUACAAAAUAAUUUACAGUAUGAAAAUGAUAUACUGAAACAUUAACCCAAACGUGUAAUUCCCUUGAAAGAUUCAGUGUUCCCUUGUUUAAUGUAAAGGGUGGAAGGGGAAGAUUCCUAAGGAGGGAAUGUGACUGUGCACAGGAAAAUAGGCAGAGGACAAUGGAUUCAUUGGUUCUCCCCAUUCAUGCAGUGUGGCCUGUCACUGUAGAAAGACUGGUCAGGUUUAACCCUCAUUAAGUAUUAAUCUGCUGUCCCCUCAAAGUCAUAUCAAGCCCAGUAUGGGCUCCGUGGCUUUUUUUGCACCAAUGUAUCCAUAAGUGUCUCCACUUAUUUUCAUUUUUCUGCUCUGGCCCUCGUUCUGCUGUUUCUGGUAUGUUCUCAGUUCCAAAUUAUACUAUCUUAUCUUACCAGGCAGGCCUCCAGAAUCAAGAACUGCCUGAGUCUUAUGGUUUCUGGAAUGGGACAGGGUAGGGGGCUUCAUAAGCACUGCUGGAUAAAGGCAAUAAUAAUGAGACUGAAGUCUCCCAUAUGGGCCUUCUUUUUCUCUUAGAGCUGGGCUGGACUCAAUCCAUAAUGAGAUUUUUUUAAACAUAAAAAUCUGAUGUGAUCAGCACACAGUAAACGUGCAGUUAAUUUUCUUAUUGAGAAGCAUGUAUUGCACAGCCAUUAUAUGAAUGUGGAAUUUCAGGAAUGGCAAGAGAAUAUUUUCUACUUGGGGAGAGAGGACUUCCUAGACCCUGCCACAACUACAAGGUCAUGAAUUCUGCAUUUGUGCCCUUAGGUCUAACUGGAGUAGUUAGACUCUCAGGUCACCAAAAUGGCUGGGCAUCCAAGUUUCCCAUCUUAUUAGACAUCCUGGAGGAGGGCUGGAGUGCAAUUUCCUUCAGGGCUGUCACUUUGACUCAGUGCCUUAGGAGCUAAUGACCUUUGCUAGGGAAUUGCUCUUCCUGUAAGCAAGUACCUAAGCCCCAACUAUAUGGUGACACUUGUAAUUAGGGCUGACAGAAAUCUUUGAAGUAGUACGCAAGAUAAUGAAGGGGCUGCUUUGAGUUUUCCUUAGCUCUCAAAUAUUUUCAAAUAAAGUUGAGUAGAGAGCAGAACACCCUUCACUUUUACUACUGCUGCAAAGUUCUAUAUCUUUGAAGGCCAAGAAACACCUUAUUUAUGGAAGAUGGCAUGAAAAAGGAAAUGUUCUCCUAACUCCUGGGGGUGGGCUCAAGUCAGCAAUGUGUACUUAAAGCAUCUGCUAAAGGGGAGAAAUAAGGCUACCUCAAUGCCAUUUCUGAGCCCUAACUAUAACUGUGAAAUGUCAUUUUGAAGAAGAUUCAUAAAUUGGGAUGGUCAGCACACAGUGGGAAAACCUGAAGUCUUUUUAUCCUUCUGUUUUUAGGUGGACCAUGGUGUGUGGUACAAAGUGCCUGUCCACAGAAUUAGGGGGAGCUGCGUUCAAGAUUUGGCUUGAGUAUUUCCUAGCUGUAUAACUUGAAGCAAAUGACUCUUCCACUCCCCAUCUGUUUUAUUAUCUAAGAGACAGCUCAGGGCCUGGCUCAUAGUUGUUCCUUAAUACAAGUUAUUUCCCUUCUUGGGCUGUCAGAGCCGAGACUCCAAGCACUUCUUGGGACUGUCCUGGAUUUAAUGAUAUCAAAUCAAAGUCCCUCUCAGCAUCCAGAAAUUCAACAUUUGAAAGAUAGCCAGAAAUUGCUAUGAGUAUCCGACUGAUUCUGGAAACAUUCAUUACCUGCCUCCCUUGGUGACUUCUCUUUAGGGGUUUCAGCAAACCCUGCCACCUGCACCCAGGCAAGACCCAAUUCUGAGCUCUCUAACUUUUACUGACCUGGCAGGAGGGAAGCCUCAUCAUGCUGGGGCUUAAGGCCAAGCAGCAUGCUCCAGCUCUAGGGGAAGGUAGUGCCACUGCAGGAAGCAUCCUAGUUCUUACAUUGAUAAAUGCUGCCGGCAGGAACUUAGAAGCCUGGGCAAAAGCUGCUGCACUGUGUUUAAUGCUUCCCUGGUUAAAGUUUUAUCAGGUACUGAAGACAGCAGGAGUCUAUAAAGCAAAUCUGAAACGCUUUCUAAGUAAAAGCAAAAGUGCUUUCCUUGAGGAUCACAGAGAUAUGAUAAGUUACUGAGACAGGUUGGCAAAUAUUUUUAUAUUUCCAUUUAUAUCCACUGCAUAAAUGCUUGAAUUUCCCAAAUACUGAUUCAAAGUAGUAACAUAUGAUCAGAUAUGGAGAACCAAUGAUCUGUCUAUUGCUAAUAUAAGGCUACUAUUUGGAGAUCAAACAAUGAUUAUUGGGGAAAGACAAUACAAGCUUCCAAAUCCUAAAAUCUUUUUAAUCUUCUGAUACUUAAAUUUUUUCGAGAGUGGCCACUGGUCCUUCUUUUAGGGUACUUUUGUUGGAUAUGAUUGGACUGAAAAAUAAUAUAAAUAGGAUUC
rnacentral:lncRNA from 1 species